rnacentral:lncRNA from 1 species
CGGACGACAGCCGCCGGCCCGAGGGUUGCGCACUUCUUCGGCACACACACCGCCGACGGCUUCGCCAAGGUACGUUCAUGUGCGCCGCCGCAGCCGAGAUUACAUGGAACGUCGGCCCGACGCACACCCUGCUCCACCAACCUCACCGCAUCUGGCCUCUGCCGACCCCUCCAUCCCUCCUGAUUUGCAAUUCAGGCAUAGAGGGAGAUCAACAAGCUUCCAAUAUAGUGAAUCGAAGCACCUCAGACUGGCAGCACUAUGUCUUGUUGAAACAUUCAUGCGAUUUUCUGUGAUUUAACCAUGCUUUCUUACACAAUUUGAGAUUUAAUGUUGAAGCUGGUACUCACAGGGUCAUAUUUACACCAGUAUGCAGAUGUGGCUUGAUCAUGUGGAAGCAUGUGACCAGGAAGGAUUGCAUCUGAAUAAAUUCACACGACAGCAACUGUAUUAAUCAGGUUAGUGUACUGUUAGUGUCAUGUUUGUCCAUUCUUCAUUGUGUGAUGUGAACCUCAAUUGAUAUCUGUAUUAUACUCAACUGAACAGUCAGGUGUUAAGCUCUGAAACUUGUUCAAACUUUGAGAGGGGUGUUUAUUUUUACCUAAUCAGCAAUUGUAACGGUAGCCUGAUAGGUCACUUGCUGAAAUUCUAUAGUAUGUCACUGUUAAAGGUCACAAACAGACAGAACCUUCCACUACUAACCUACUAGGUCAUGAGCUGCUUAAGUUAAUAGGACACACAAUGACUGAACCUUCAUAGUAGCUAGUCCCCAAUCAAUAUCACAUUAACUGGAUUCAGACUCAUGGGACUGUGUCUUGUUUGUUAUUAACUGGAUUCUUGAUAGUUUUAUCAUUUCAUUUGACUCACCCGAUUUUAAGGUCUCAAAGUAUAAUAGCUGCACCGUUUCUUCUGUUUCGUCUAAACCAGAUCCUACUUUGCUUCAUUUAGUCCUCAGUGUAGGUUUAACUCAUCUAAGGCUUCCUUCUGUAAUUAACAGCUGUUUGUGCUUGUGGAGCUGGUGUCCCCAAUUUUGGAAAGUAUGUACUUAUUAUUUCCAUUCAUAAACUUGCAAUCCUAAAUUUCCAGGUGGGACCAUUAUAAUAGAAAUAUUGUUGUUUCCUUGAUAAUCCAUGUUUGUUGUUGUUCUAUAGCCAAUGAAUGAUAAGAUCAAGCAAGCUAUGGUUGGAUCACUAUCUGGAAUUGUUUUCUCGACACGACUGAAUUUGUUUAUUUUAUUUUCCAAGUGUUCAUUAUUAUCGCACUAAAUACCAGGAAAACACACACCAAAUAACCCAUGUUAACUUGAUUGCUUUUUCAGCUGUACUAUGCUCGUGAAUGACUACACAGUUGAGUUAUAUCUGAUUGCCUUUUAUGUUUGUCACUAUGUUAUUUGCGCCUAUUCAACACUGGAUGUGGUAUAAAAUACAAAUAGGCACAUAUCCAUGGAUGAACUGCUGGAAACUUAGAACCUUAUUUUCCUUUUCUUUGUAUAGUAAUUUUGUAAUAGCAGAAGUCUUGCUUGCUCGUUCAGAAGAGUAAAACACCAAUUUGUCAAAAUAUAUUCCACCUUAACCUGUCGAAGGCAUACCAUCCUGUCGCAAUAAUGUUUCAGCUUUUAAU